rnacentral:rRNA from 1 species
AAACCAACAGGGAUUGCCUCAGUAACGGCGAGUGAAGCGGCAAAAGCUCAAAUUUGAAAUCUAGCACCUUCGGUGUUCGAGUUGUAAUUUGAAGAUGGCAACCUUGGGUUUGGCUCUUGUCUAUGUUCCUUGGAACAGGACGUCAUAGAGGGUGAGAAUCCCGUCUGAUGAGAUGCCCAUUCCUUUGUAAGGUGCUAUCGAAGAGUCGAGUUGUUUGGGAAUGCAGCUCUAAGUGGGUGGUAAAUUCCAUCUAAAGCUAAAUAUUGGCGAGAGACCGAUAGCGAACAAGUACAGUGAUGGAAAGAUGAAAAGAACUUUGAAAAGAGAGUGAAAAAGUACGUGAAAUUGUUGAAAGGGAAGGGCAUUAGAUCAGACUUGGUGUUUUACGAUUAUCUUCUCUUCUUGAGUUGUGCACUCGUAUUUCACUGGGCCAGCAUCGAUUCGGAUGGUAAGAUAAUAGCAGUUGAAUGUGGCUCCACUUCGGUGGAGUGUUAUAGCUUCUGUUGAUAUUGCCUGUCUGGAUCGAGGGCUGCGUCUUUUGACUAGGAUGCUGGCGUAAUGAUCUAAUGCCGCCCGUCU